GGAGUGGUAGUUCAGUUGGUUAGAAUGCCUCCCGGGGGCCCGCCUAACCCUGGGGUUUUUUGCCUGUCAUUUCGCAGGAGGUCGCGGGUUCGAGUCCCGUCCGCUCCG
rnacentral:tRNA from 1 species